rnacentral:lncRNA from 1 species
CCAAAUAAAAAAUACAGAUGGGCCACUUAAUACAACUGGGCCAGUAACUAUACAAAUGGGCCGGGUAUGUCUUCAAAUCAAAUGUUAAUGCGGCUGAGGCCCAAUAUUGUCAACACAAACAAAACUGUCUACACCAGUUGAAGCCUGCCUGUACAAGAUAACUUUUUUGCAGUCCAUGAAGAUAUUCUUGCCACUAUCUUCUCAAUAUGGGGGUACCAUUGUACCAUUGUAAGCGUCUUUGUGUCCAGAGGAAUCCCUACGUACUUAAACAAGUACCUGCAGAAUAAACAAGUACCUGCAGAAUCUCUACUUUAAUCUCUUUUUUGCAGACUGGAGUUGCUUCAGCAAAGAGGUUGUGUUAUAUGGAUAACUGGUCUCAGUGGUUCAGGUUUGUUUAAAUUUUAUUUUUCCUCACCUCUUUCUCUCUGUACAUUUUUGUUGAUAUUUCUAUUUGGUGGACAAACCAAUACUUUAUUUUCUUGGUUUUGUUCUGUUUAGUACUCUGUACAUGCAUAUUAUACUUUAGAACAAUGCACUAGAGCUACAGCCAUGAAGACUGGAGAGCUUAAAAUAUUACUACAUGAUAUUUGUAAAAAUAUUCAAGGAAACGCAAUUGGGUGCUAUCGAACUUGAAAACUGAUGCUGUAAUAAGAAAUAAAGUAAAUAUCAAAUGGAGUAAGCUGAAAAAGAUAAUUUUAGCCACUCAUGACUUUAAUUUUUCACACUCAUGACUGAAAUUAAAGAUAAAUUUUCACUUCAAUAUCACAAGGGAACCUUAUCUGACUGUUGUGAACCUGAAGGGUCGAGUCAUCUUUCUUUACUUUUGGAAGAACUACACAUACUUUGGCAGGAAAGAUAGAGAAAACAACCAUAUAAAACUGAAUAUAUAGUUUUAAUUUUAGCGCUUGCACAUAAGUAGUUACAGUAAUAGAUAGUACUACUUUCUGUCAUCUACUUUCUCCUGAUUGGGUGAAUUCAGUCAUUUUAAAGAAGGAAAGCUACUGCUUAAGAAGAUGACAAGAGUCCUAAAUCUUGUGGCCUCGAGUGAAUUACUGAACGAUUUUGACUGACCUUAAAAAUGACACUAGAACUUGACAACUUAUAAUGGGAAGAAAAGUAAACGAGCACAAAUUGAGUGGGAUCUUCCAAAUUCAGUCCUAGUCACUCCACUCAUGAACAUGCCAAAAGAUAAUGACUAGGAUUUAGUUCAAGAUUUCCCUUCUUUUUGUUCUUUAGGGGACAGAUAGGUCGUGACUAGAAAAGAGAACACAGUUUGAAUUCUGCAACUUUCCUAUUUAGUCAAAAAUAAUCUUUGUACGUACAGAUGAAUGUCAUGUUACAAUUAUUAUACUACAAUCUUAAAUUUUAAUAAAAGAAAGAACAAAAAGAGAUUAGAUUUAUAAACUAAUGUUUACAUUUGACAACCAAAAAGAUUUAAUUAUAAUCAAUAUUGCACCAUAUCCCCAUGUAGGGGUAAGGUCUGCAUACACACUACUUUUCUCACGGCCCACAUGUAAAAUUAUACUGAAUUGUUAUUAUUGUUGUUGUUAGUUGUUGUAUUGCACCAUAAUUGAAUUCACAUCAUUUAGAGCCACUAAAGAGAGUAUUUUUAUUAAGAGUUUCUACAUUCUUAAACUCGAACUUAAAAUCUCCAAUUAAAAAAAAAGGUCAAAUUCACUUUAGUAAUAGAAGAAAUAAGAAAAUAACUACGGUAGGAUCAAAGGUUGUUUUUAAAGUGUAGUUUUAAUAGGGAAAAGAUAUAGCUAUUGGUGUUAUACAAAAUAAAUAAAUUCACAAUAUUUUUUAACUAAAUUUAUCAUUCAAUCAUAAUUAAUUAAUAUAUAUUCUUAUUUUAAUUUGAGAUUUUUGAGAGAGCGGACCAUGGUUUCAAAUACCAAAUACAAUACAAGAAAAAGAAUAUUUUCCUCUUUUCUCCCUUUUCACGUCUAAGCUAAAAAAAGGUGUAACGACCCGUCCGGUCGUUUUGAGUAUUACAUCCCCAUUCCCCCAUUUAUUGUUUAAUUUGUACUUUACAGUUGUUAUGUGACUUGCCGGGGUAAUUGGUUCGGGUUCGGUGAGGUUUCGAAAUGAAUUGAGACACUUAGUCUCAAAGAUGAAAGCUUAAGUGGAAAUAGUUGUCCAGAUGUCGACUUUUGUGUAACGACUCCGGAAUAGAGUUUUGAUGAUUCCAAUAGUUCUAUAUGGUGAUUUUGGAUUUAGGAGUGUAUCCGAAAAAUUAUUUGGAAGUCUGUAGUUAAAUUAGGCUUGAAAUGGCUAAAAUAGAAAUUUAUAUUUGAAAAUAUGACUGGGGAGUUGACUUUUUGAUAUCAGGGUUGAAAUCCGAUUCUGAAAAUUGGAAUAGGUCGUUUCGACGUAAAUUGGCGAAAGUUGAAAAAUUUCAGUCUGCACAAUGUGCAAAAUACUCGUGAUUCAGAAUUGAGGAUGGGAUCCUCGCGGUUUAUUGUGAUUUGAUAUGUUUAACCCGGACUACGUGCCGCAAUGGAAGUUAUAUCAGGAUGAGAUCCUUGUGGUUAAAUUCAUGUGUUUUAAAUUCUCUCUUUGUGAAAUUUAAUUUGUACUAUAGUACUAAUAGGGAGUCAUGCCUGCUAGGCUUAUUUGAUAAUUCUUUUAUGUGUUUCUAUGCAUAUUUAGCCAUAUUUGUGCUGUAAUUAUUGAGUUUUAGCCUAAAAGGUUAGUGCCC